rnacentral:lncRNA from 1 species
GAGAAAUCAAAAGUAAUGGUUUUUAAUUCAAACGGAAAGUCUUUUCUAAACGAAUUUUAUUAUAAUGGCAAAUCCUUAGAGACAGUUAAUACUUAUUGUUACUUGGGUAUUAAUAUUAGAUAUAAUGGCAGUUUUAAUGUCGCCAUCACUUCGCUUAUGGAAAAAGCUAGGAAAGCAUAUUUUAAAAUAAAGAAAACAAUAGGAUUAGAUAACCCUUGUAAACUUCUGGAAAAACUUUUUGAUUCCUUAGUAGCCCCUAUUCUCCUUUAUUGUAGCGAAAUCUGGGGGAUUAUUUCGACAUUUAAAGACAGUGAUGCCUAUGAAAAGUUGCAUAUAAAAUUUAUUAAAGAAAUCUUGGGAGUACACUGUAAGGCCUCGAAUGAUGCAUGUCGUUCCGAACUUGCAAGACUGCCAUUGAAAAAUAGGAUAAUGUUAUCUAGCAUUAAAUUCUGGGAUCAUUUAAUCACUUCAGAAGGAAGUUUAGUUCACCAAAUAUAUAAUGCUACAAAAAAAAGCAACCCAUGGGUUAAAAGGUUAAAUAUUAUUAUUCAAAACUUAGGUUUAUCUUAUUUGUCAAAUGAUAACCUUACUAUUAAACCCCUGUUUGGUUUUAUAAAACAAAGACUAAUUGACCAGGGUUUUCAGGAACAACAUGCAAAUAUUUCAGCAUCUCCAAAAUUAAUUUUUUUCCAGAGUGUUUACAAAAUGAGUGAACGGGCAGGUUAUGUUGAUGCUUUAAAAAAUAGAUCAGAUCGAUCAUCAUUAUGUAAAUUAAGAGUUAGUGCUCAUAACCUUGCCAUUGAAAGAGGAAGAUAUUUAAAAAUGCCCAGAGAUCAAAGAAUUUGUGAAAUCUGUAAAAGUGGCGAAAUUGAAAAUGAACAGCACAUGCUGCUACACUGCAGAGGUUACUCCAGUAUUAGAGAGUCUUUUGUAUUAAAAAUGUUUAAUAUUACAGGAAAAAGUGUAACCACAUUGUGUGAUAAAAAUAUAAUAAAUCUUAUACUUAAUAAUACAUCUUAUAAGGCAC